rnacentral:piRNA from 1 species
UCAAUGCUGGGAAAUACCCGAAGAGCCCUGGU